rfam:Felis catus isolate Cinnamon breed Abyssinian chromosome A3, whole genome shotgun sequence.
UUUUUAGUGUAAGUAUAUCCCACGCGAUAUUUGAGACAUAUUUACACUAAAA